GAUGAACGCUGGCGGCGUGCCUAAUACAUGCAAGUCGAGCGAACGGACGAGAAGCUUGCUUCUCUGAUGUUAGCGGCGGACGGGUGAGUAACACGUGGAUAACCUACCUAUAAGACUGGGAUAACUUCGGGAAACCGGAGCUAAUACCGGAUAAUAUUUUGAACCGCAUGGUUCAAAAGUGAAAGACGGUCUUGCUGUCACUUAUAGAUGGAUCCGCGCUGCAUUAGCUAGUUGGUAAGGUAACGGCUUACCAAGGCAACGAUGCAUAGCCGACCUGAGAGGGGGACGGGCCACGCUGGAAGUGAGCCGCGGCCCAGGCUCCGAGGGGAGGCAGAGAUGGGGAAUCUUCCGCAAUGGGGGAAACCUUGAAGGACGACCGCCCGGUGGGUGAAGAGGGUCUGCGGAUGGGAAAACUCUUUUAUUGGGGAAAAACAUUUUUGUAAGGAACGGUGCAAAUUUGACGGGUCCCUAAGCAGAAAGCCCCGGUAAACUCGGG
rnacentral:rRNA from 1 species